rnacentral:rRNA from 1 species
CCUACGGGAGGCAGCAGUGGGGAAUAUUGCACAAUGGGCGAAAGCCUGAUGCAGCAACGCCGCGUGAGCGAUGAAGGCCUUCGGGUCGUAAAGCUCUGUCCCCUAUGAAGAUAAUGACGGUACUUGAGGAGGAAGCCCCGGCUAACUACGUGCCAGCAGCCGCGGUAAUACGUAGGGGGCUAGCGUUAUCCGGAAUUACUGGGCGU